CUCGCGCCGCCCGCCCUGCGCCCCCGCGGGUCCCUGCGAGGAGUCCGCGCACCCUGCCCGCGGGGGCGGCCACCCCGGGCUCCAGCAGCGGUGGCUCUGUAGGAAGCUUCCUAUUCCUGCCUGGUCGGCUCCGUCGGUCUCUGUUGCUGUUUUCUUUUUUCUCUUUCUGGUCUUUGCCAGUUUAGGAGAUGGGGAUGAGUGGGCUCCUGCUGUUUGCCUCUCUCAUUCGCGGCGAGUUGGCGACUUGACCUUACCCUGAGCAGAGCGCGUGUGCCCCCGCCUGAGGGAGAUCCCAGAAAGGCAGCAGCAGAGAGUGAUAAUGGUGACAACCUCACUGAAAAAUUUGAAUUCUGAGUUUGUGACAAGGCCAACUUGAAAGUAGCACAGAGGGAUAAUUACUCUUCAAUCAGUGAAACCCUUUCAAAUGCUGUCCAAGAAGACUUCUAUCAAUCCAAUCCAGAGAGCUAGAAAGAAAACAAAAUUUGAAGACUACUAUGCCCCAGAAGAUAUAAAAAAGAAGAGUAGAGAACAAGUAUUGAAAUGCAGAAGUUUUGCUUUGGAAGCAAAUUAAAAGGAUGGGAUAAACUACUGCCUUCUUAGUUCUUGCCAAACCAGUCUUCUAUGUGUAAUGCUACCUCAUCAAUCUGCACCCUCACAAGCUUCUGGUAGGUCAACAGUAGAUUGGGCAAUAGACCAAGCUUUUGAUUAUCCACUUGAAUUAUUGUUUGCAGUUUGAAAAAUUAACUUUAGAAGAGAUCAAAGGGAAACUCUUAUUUAAUGUGUCCCUUAUUUAACACAUGCAAUCUAUCCUGUGGAGCUACUAUAACGUCUGAAGACAUGAAUAAGCUUAAAUGCCUGGAUGUAGAUCCAUGAUUCUUUGCCAUGAAAAACAGUUAGAAUGUGCUCAGCAUCCUUUGACUGUUCAGUUACUAUCACCAGCUAUACCUAUAUGAGUCACAUUAUUGGCUGAUGCUAUCUAUUUUCUGAAGUCAGCUGUGGUUCUAGUAGGGAUAGUUUAAUGAGCCCCUAUCUAAGAAGGCAAUUGGUUCAUUGUUAAAUUGGUGAUUUAUGUCUGCUAUCUAUCCAAGUGCUCAACUUCUGUAGAGGCCCUAAAUCAAAUAUUUUAUUUCAUUUCUCUAUCUCUAAUCCAACUCCCUUAUUUUAGCUUCCUUAUCUACUUGGACUUCCUUAUCUACUUCUGUUUCAUUGAUAUCUGCUACUGUGGAUUUAAGCCAAAGUUGAUGGUCUUCUGGUGCCUACCAGCCUUCCUUUGUAGUAUAAUUCUUGAUCCCUACCUGCC
rnacentral:lncRNA from 1 species